GUGGGAUCCCGGCCCCGCGGGGCCNGGCGCACCACCGGCCCGUCUCGCCCGCACCGUCGGGGAGGUGGAGCGUGAGCGCGUGCNAUAGGACCNGNANGAUGGUGAACUAUGCCUGGGCAGGGC
rnacentral:rRNA from 1 species